rnacentral:rRNA from 1 species
GUCCUUAGUUACCAGCACGUUAUGGUGGGCACUCUAAGGAGACUGCCGGUGGACAAACCGGAGGAAGGUGGGGAAUGACGUCAAGUCAUCAUGGCCCUUACGGCCUGGGCUACACACGUGCUACAAUGGUCGGUACAAAGGGUUGCCAAGCCGCGAGGUGGAGCUAAAUCCCAUAAAACCGAUCGUAGUCCGGAUCGCAGUCUGCAACUCGACUGCGUGAAGUCGGAAUCGCUAGUAAUCGUGAAUCAGAAUGUCACGGUGAAUACGUUCCCGGGCCUU